AAGUCGUAACAAGGUUUCCGUAGGUGAACCUGCGGAAGGAUCAUUAUUGUAGGGGCCUUUUGGCCCAUUACGAGAAGCAACCCUUGUCUUUUUUGUGCACCGAUCGUUUCCUCGGCAGCUUUGCCUGCCAACGAGGACCCCCCAAAAAACCUUUCGCAAUCUUAGUAUGACAUUCUGAAAACAAACAAUAUUAAAA
rnacentral:misc_RNA from 1 species